AUUGGACGCUGGCGGCAUGCCUUACACAUGCAAGUCGAACGGCAGCGGGGGAGAAGCUUGCUUUUCCUGCCGGCGAGUGGCGAACGGGUGAGUAAUACAUCGGAACGUGCCCUGUAGUGGGGGAUAACUAGUCGAAAGAUUAGCUAAUACCGCAUACGACCUGAGGGUGAAAGUGGGGGACCGCAAGGCCUCAUGCUAUAGGAGCGGCCGAUGUCUGAUUAGCUAGUUGGUGGGGUAAAGGCCUACCAAGGCGACGAUCAGUAGCUGGUCUGAGAGGACGAUCAGCCACACUGGGACUGAGACACGGCCCAGACUCCUACGGGAGGCAGCAGUGGGGAAUUUUGGACAAUGGGCGAAAGUCUGAUCCAGCAAUGCCGCGUGUGUGAAGAAGGCCUUCGGGUUGUAAAGCACUUUUGUCCGGAAAGAAAUGGCUCUGGUUAAUACCUAGGGUCGAUGACGGUACCGGAAGAAUAAGGACCGGCUAACUACGUGCCAGCCGCCGCGGUAA
rnacentral:rRNA from 1 species